rnacentral:rRNA from 1 species
CUAAUACCGCAUAUUCUGUGAGCAGGAAAGACAGGGGAUCGCAAGACCUUGCGCUCUGGGAGCGGCCGAUGUACGGAUUAGCUAGUGGUGGGUAAAGGCCUACCAAGGCGACGAUCCGUAGCGGGUCUGAGAGGAUGAUCCGCCACACUGGGACUGAGACACGGCCCAGACUCCUACGGGAGGCAGCAGUGGGGAAUUUUGGACAAAUGGGCGGAAAGCCUGAUCCAGCCAUGCCGCGUGAGUGAAGAAGGCCUUCGGGUUGUAAAGCUCUUUCGGCGGGGAAGAAAAUUGCACGGGUUAAUACCCUGUGUAGAUGACGGUACCCGAAUAAGAAGCACCGGCUAACUACGUGCCAGCAGCCGCGGUAAUACGUAGGGUGCGAGCGUUAAUCGGAAUUACUGGGCGUAAAGCGUGCGCAGGCGGUUUGGUAAGUCAGAUGUGAAAUCCCCGGGCUCAACCUGGGAACUGCAUUUGAGACUGCCAGGCUGGAGUUUGGCAGAGGGGGGUGGAAUUCCA